AUUGAACGCUGGCGGCAGGCCUAACACAUGCAAGUCGAGCGGAUGAAGGGAGCUUGCUCCUGGAUUCAGUGGCGGACGGGCGAGUAAUGCCUAGGAAUCUGCCUGGUAGUGGGGGAUAACGUCCGGAAACGGGCGCUAAUAUCGCAUACGUCCUGAGGGAGAAAGUGGGGGAUCUUCGGACCUCACGCUACUUGAUGAGCCUAGGUCGGAUUAGCUAGUUGGUGGGGUAAAGGCCUACCAAGGCGACGAUCCGUAACUGAUCUGAGAGGAUGAUCAGUCACACUGGAACUGAGACACGGUCCAGACUCCUACGGGAGGCAGCAGUGGGGAAUAUUCGGCAAUGGGCGAAAGCCUGAUCCAGCCAUGCCGCGUGUGUGAAGAAGGUCUUCGGAUUGUAAAGCUCUUUAAGUUGGGAGGAAGAGCAGUGAGUUUAUACCUUGCUGUUUUGACGUUACCAACAGAAUAAGCCCCGGCUAACUUCGUG
rnacentral:rRNA from 1 species